UGAGUUAGCUAAGACAGUCGCCGCUUGAGUGCUUUAAUAUUCAGGGGGAGGAAAGUCCGGGCUCCAUAGGGCAAGGUGCCAGGUAACACCUGGGGGGAGUGAUCCCACGGCCAGUGCAACAGAGAGUAAACCGCCACAUCAUACUUGUAUGUUGGGGUAAGGGUGAAAGGGUGCGGUAAGAGCGCACCGCGUUAAUGGUAACAUUAACGGCAUGGUAAACCCCACCUGGAGCAAGACCAAAUAGGG
rnacentral:RNase_P_RNA from 1 species